rnacentral:rRNA from 1 species
GAGUUUGAUCCUGGCUCAGAACGAACGCUGGCGGCGUGGAUAAGACAUGCAAGUCGAACGGGAGAAUUGCUAGCUUGCUAAUAAUUCUCUAGUGGCGCACGGGUGAGUAACACGUGAGUAACCUGCCUCUUAGUGGGGGAUAGCCCUGGGAAACCGGGAUUAAUACCGCAUACGAUUGAAAGAUCAAAGCAGCAAUGCGCUAGGAGAUGGGCUCGCGGCCUAUUAGUUAGUUGGUGAGGUAACGGCUCACCAAGGCGAUGACGGGUAGCCGGUCUGAGAGGAUGUCCGGCCACACUGGAACUGAGACACGGUCCAGACACCUACGGGUGGCAGCAGUCGAGAAUCAUUCACAAUGGGGGCAACCCUGAUGGUGCGACGCCGCGUGGGGGAAUGAAGGUCUUCGGAUUGUAAACCCCUGUCAUGUGGGAGCAAAUUAAAAAGAUAGUACCACAAGAGGAAGAGACGGCUAACUCUGUGCCAGCCGCCGCGGUAAUUC